UACGUAGGGGGCUAGCGUUGUCCGGAAUCAUUGGGCGUAAAGAGCGUGUAGGCGGCCCGGUAAGUCCGCUGUGAAAGUCGGGGGCUCAACCCUCGGAUGCCGGUGGAUACUGUCGGGCUCGAGUACGGAAGAGGCGAGUGGAAUUCCUGGUGUAGCGGUGAAAUGCGCAGAUAUCAGGAAGAACACCCGUGGCGAAGGCGGCUCUCUGGAACGCAACUGACGCUGAGACGCGAAAGCGUGGGGAGCAAACAGG
rnacentral:rRNA from 1 species